GGGGGUUAUAGUUUAAUCUCCUAGAA
rnacentral:tRNA from 1 species